rnacentral:piRNA from 1 species
UGUAGAAUGCAUGAAUGCCAGGGUCGAU